rnacentral:rRNA from 1 species
CUACCCUUGACAUGUCAGGAAUCUUGCAGAGAUGUGAGAGUGCUCGAAAGAGAACCUGAACACAGGUGCUGCAUGGCCGUCGUCAGCUCGUGUCGUGAGAUGUUGGGUUAAGUCCCGCAACGAGCGCAACCCUUGUCAUUAGUUGCUAGGAAAGGGCACUCUAAUGAGACUGCCGGUGACAAACCGGAGGAAGGUGGGGAUGAGGUCAGGUCAUCAUGGCCCUUAUGGGUAGGGCUACACACGUCAUACAAUGGCCGGGACAGAGGGCUGCCAACCCGCGAGGGGGAGCUAAUCCCAGAAACCCGGUCGUAGUCCGGAUCGCAGUCUGCAACUCGACUGCGUGAAGUCGGAAUCGCUAGUAAUCGCGGAUCAGCUUGCCGCGGUGAAUACGUUCCC